rnacentral:tRNA from 1 species
GCCCAGGUACGCCAACGGCUGAGCGGCUCGGCUCGGUGUUGAUUUCCAAAAGGGCCGAGCGUGUGCAGGUUCGACUCCUGCUCUGGGUA